AUGCCCAGCCGUAAAACAUUAACUUACACUACAAACCGCCAGGGAAUUACGAGCCCAAACUUAAAACCCAAAGGACUUGACGGUGUCCCACCCACCUAGAGGAGCCUGUUCUAUAAUCGACUCUCCCCGAUAUACCUCACCACUUCUAGCCACACAGUCUGUAUACCUCCGUCGCAAGCUUACCAUGUGAACGAAACUAGUGAGCUUAAAGAUUCCCCAUCAACACGUCAGGUCAAGGUGCAGCUUACGAAGCGGAAAGAAAUGGGCUACAAUUUCUAACCUAGAACAAACGAAAGACUGCAUGAAAAACAGUCAUGAAGGCGGAUUUAGCAGUAAAAAGAAAAUAGAGCGUUCUUUUUAAUAAGGCCCUGGGACGCGUACACA
rnacentral:rRNA from 1 species